UACGUAGGGGGCAAGCGUUGUCCGGAAUCAUUGGGCGUAAAGAGCGUGUAGGCGGCCCGAUAAGUCCGCUGUGAAAGUCCAGGGCUCAACCCUGGAAUGCCGGUGGAUACUGUCGGGCUGGAGUCCGGAAGAGGCGAGUGGAAUUCCUGGUGUAGCGGUGAAAUGCGCAGAUAUCAGGAGGAACACCAAUGGCGAAGGCAGCUCGCUGGGACGGUACUGACGCUGAGACGCGAAAGCGUGGGGAGCAAACAGG
rnacentral:rRNA from 1 species